GCAACAUGCAAAGCACUUAGGAUAAUGCUUGGUAAAUAGCGAAUGCUAACUAUCAGUGUUAAUUAUUAUAGAAUGGAAACUUUGCAUUUUUACAUUUAGGUGAAAAAUUAUAAAAUAUGAAGCAUUCUGAAGAUAUCGAUGUAAUGUGGUUUUCACCAUUGACAUUUGCAAAAUGUGUCAAUAAAAGGAAGAUCUAAGACACAGAAGAGCUCAUAAAACAGUGGUGUCUGCGUAUGUUGACAUACUUUUAGUGCAAUGUAGUGACUGAUGAUGUGACAGUUCUGGUGGGAUAAUGUCACUAUUUCUAUGUCAAAGACAAAGCACCAUUCACAAUAGCCAAGACAUGGAAGCAACCUAAGUGCCCACUGACCAAUGACUGGAUAAAGAAGAUGUGAUGUAUAUAUACAAUGGAAUACUACUCAGCCAGAAGGAAAGACAAAUUCAUCCCAUUUGUAAUAACGUGGAAGGACCUAGAGGGAAUUAUGCUAUGUGAAAUAAGCCAGUCUGAGAAAGACAAACACCAGACGAUUUCACUCAUGUGUGGAAUAUAAACAAGUACUGGGACAAAGAAAACAAUUCCGUG
rnacentral:lncRNA from 1 species